rnacentral:rRNA from 1 species
UACGGGGGGGGGUAAGCGUUGUUCGGAAUUACUGGGCGUAAAGGGCUCGUAGGCGGCCAACUAAGUCGGACGUGAAAUCCCUCAGCUUAACUGGGGAACUGCGUCCGAUACUGGAUGGCUUGGAUUCGGGAGAGGGAUGCGGAAUUCCAGGUGUAGCGGUGAAAUGCGUAGAUAUCUGGAGGAACACCGGUGGCGAAGGCGGCAUCCUGGACCGAUAUUGACGCUGAGGAGCGAAAGCCAGGGGAGCAAACGGG